AUUGAUUCUCGGCCUUUUGGCUAGGACCAGGUAUAGUACCUGUUCUUAUCAGUUUAAUAUCUGAUAUGUCUUCUAUCCGAGGAUACCAUAUCAUUCCAUAUACAAAAUAGCGCUGAAAAAUGGAAGCCAGAAUUACUACAAGAUUAAUUUUAUGCAGUGCCU
rnacentral:snRNA from 1 species